GUCCACGCUGUAAACGAUGAGCACUAGGUGUCGUGGGUAUUGACCCCCGCGGUGCCGACGCUAACGCAUUAAGUGCUCCGCCUGGGGACUACGGCCGCAAGGCUAAAACUCAAAGGAAUUGACGGGGGCCCGCACAAGCGGUGGAGCAUGUGGUUCAAUUCGACGCAACGCGAAGAACCUUACCUGGGCUAGACAACGGAGGACCGCUCCAGAGAUGGGGCUUUCCCUUCGGGGACCUUCGGUUCAGGUGCUGCAUGGCUGUCGU
rnacentral:rRNA from 1 species